CUUUUUUUUUUUGUUGACACCCACCCACAUCAAAGCCACUCCUCCCCUUUUCUUCUCCCCAAGAAAUGAGCAUGAAACCCAAAAUCCCAAAAACCUUUCACUGUAAAAAAGAAGACAUUACCUUAAGUACUAAAAAAAAGAGGAGGAAAAACUGGUAACCUCUCUAAAAUUAGUGGGGCUGGGGCAGGGAAACCAUAGGAAAGCAACUCUUUUUCCUUUUUUUUUUCCUCUCUCUCUCUCUCUCUAGUCUUUUGUGCUACUCCCCAGCCAACAAAAAAGAGAGCCCCCCAUUGCAAACUGGAAGAAUGGAUUUGAAAGAAUUGAAGUGACCUUGACCCAUGUAGUGUCCUCUCCCCUCCCUCUAUUUAAAACCCUCAAAUAUCUCACCCUCCCUCCCUCCCUCCCUCCCUCUUUUCUUUCACUUGGUUUGUUUUUACUACAGUGGUAUUAGUUUUGUGCGUGUUUUAGAGUGAGUGAGUGUGUGUGUGUAUUUAGCAAGGGGAAGAUGCCAAGGCCAGGGCCAAGGCCUUAUGAGUGUGUGAGAAGAGCAUGGCAUAGUGAUAGACACAAACCCAUUAGAGGUUCCAUGAUUGGACAAAUUUUAAGGAUGGCCUAUGACACUCACAGUGCUGCAACUAAAGGGAAUAGGGAGUGGCAAGAUAAGCUUCUUCUUGUGGUUUACAGGGCUGAGGAAAUCAUGUACUCCAAAGCCAACUCUGAGGCCGAGUAUGUGAGCCAAGACACUUUAUGGGACAGAGUAAACGAUGCCGUUAAUACCAUUAUAAGGAGAGAUGAGAGCACUGAAACUGGAGAUCUUUUGCCUCCUUGUAUUGAAGCUGCCCUUAAUUUGGGAUGCAAAGUGGAGAGAGCUUCGAGAAGCCAACGACACAACAAUCCCAGGAGCUACCUCAGCCCAAGAACGCAAGAACCGGCAUCUGUAGCUCCUAGAGCUGUAGAUAGAACUCAUGAUGAGCAAGGCCCUCGGCUAAUGCCAAUUCACUCGAUCAAUCCAUUGAACUUUGCUGCAAGAGCCACCACAAUUGUGAAUCCAAAUCUUCCUGUUUCAGAGUCUAGUCAUCGUCUGGCUGAGAGUAGUAAUGCUGCUCCUCCUCACAGUUGCCCUAUCUUGUAUGAGAAUAUCCCUCCUGGCAGUGAUCAGUUGACUACCAAGGAAGCCGACAUGCAUCAGAACUUUGGUUCAGUUUAUCCCUUGUUUUAUGGAGAUCAAUAUCAAAUAGAAGCAUCUGAUAUGGUCUCCGAAGUUUCGACAAGGAUGAACUCCAACACUAUACUUGUGGGUAAACCUAUUGGUACAUCAGUAGCUGCGCAAGGGAUAUCGGCGUCUUGCAGACAGUUUUCUCAUGUUCCAGUGCUGAAGUUGGUUCCAUGAAAAUCACAAAAGCAGAUUUCAGGAAUAUCCAUGAGAAGCCAACUGGCACGCAAUGUGAUUUAUCCUUAAGGUUGGGUCCAUGCUCAGACCCUUGUAUAAGCACCGAAAGAAAUCAAGCUCAAGAAAAUGAAAUCGUUGGCUCGAGCAGUUCUCAAGAAAGAGACAAGUUUAGUGUUUUUUCUCAACAUAGAAACAAGGAAUUCUGUUUUUUUCCCAGUACAAGCAAUAGGGAUCCCUCUGAGUCCUGUCCGGAUAAGUGGGCCUCAGAGGGUGAUGUUCAGAAUUUGGAGGCAAACAUCAGAAAGCGCAAGGCACCCUUCAGUGACAAUGUGGAGGAUGGGCAUUUUUGCUGGCAGUCCAACCAGUUCAUUGGUCGAAUAGAAGGGCCAGGUGCUGAGAUCUUUUUUGAAAGAAUGGUAGGAUUCCUCAUAGCAUGCUCUUGGCAAUCAUUCUAUAGCAGUGGAUAUAAGCUCAAUUUCCACCACAUAAUUGUAUACAAGUAAUAGAUAUCGGAGAAUAUGUUCAUGUUCUUCUUUGAUCACUCAUACGUGUAAAUAUUUUUUAAGCUAUUAUUGUGUUAUUUUGAAUUAAAACCUAACCAGCACAUCUUGGUUUUGGCUUUUACAUGAUUGGAUGUCUGAUUCUUAUGCACGAGUAAAGUUACUAUUAGGGAAAUGGAGCAUCUAAUAGAUAGUUAAAACUAAGUGCAUUGUCAGACUCCAUAGUUCCAUUUAUGUCUCCAUAAUCGACUGAUUUGAGUUAACACGUGUCAUUUCCUUUUCAACGCCUUUCCUUCCUCACCCCCUAUCUUUCUGUAUUUGAGUAUUUUGAGUGCAGAAAAAUGUGGGAUUCAUCUUUCUUUUUGGUCUUUUUCUUCCCCUUUGUACAAUUUGCAAGCUGCUAACCUAGCAUAGUGUCUACUUCAAGGGAAAUGCAUAGGGGAGUGGUGCACCAUCUGUCCAUGACGUGAGCGUGAUGGAUAUUAGCAGUUCUUAUUCGUAUAGCUGCUUAUGCAUGACUAUUCUUAACAGGUAAUUGAGAUCUUCGGGUCCCUUUAGUAAUUGACCCAGUGGUUGAACCAGAAAUUUGAUGUUUAAACCAUUAAAUUGGAACCUUCAUCAGUUCUCUCCGUCACUUCUGAAAGCUAUGCGUGUAAGUCUCAGGUUCUGGGGGUUGCAGGCCAGGCACAACAUCAGGUGGGAAAAAAAUUGGAAAGGUGAGGUUUCCGAGUUUUUUCCCAUACUAGAACAGUGCGGAAAAUAUUUAUCAAAUUAACAUAGUUGAAUAAAUAAUUUCAAAAUUAACAAAGAUGAAUCUAGAGGGAGAUAUUCGUGCUAGUCCGGUCUUUCUUUUAGACUUUAAAAGACUGCUUUCUCCGCAUAGGCAUCAAAAGCAUGCAUAACAUUUGACAAUCCAGCUAAAGAAACAGAUGUCUGAUGUAAAAUGUUAAAGAAUGACCCUUCUGUCAAUUUUUUUGAUCUGUCGCAGUUGACUUGCACACACACGCAACAGCUUAAACAUUUU